rnacentral:rRNA from 1 species
AGUGAACGCUGGCGGUAGGCCUAACACAUGCAAGUCGAACGGCAGCACAGUAAGAGCUUGCUCUUACGGGUGGCGAGUGGCGGACGGGUGAGGAAUACAUCGGAAUCUACUUUUUCGUGGGGGAUAACGUAGGGAAACUUACGCUAAUACCGCAUACGACCUACGGGUGGAAGCAGGGGAUCUUCGGACCUUGCGCGAUUGAAUGAGCCGAUGUCGGAUUAGCUAGUUGGCGGGGUAAAGGCCCACCAAGGCGACGAUCCGUAGCUGGUCUGAGAGGAUGAUCAGCCACACUGGAACUGAGACACGGUCCAGACUCCUACGGGAGGCAGCAGUGGGGAAUAUUGGACAAUGGGCGCAAGCCUGAUCCAGCCAUACCGCGUGGGUGAAGAAGGCCUUCGGGUUGUAAAGCCCUUUUGUUGGGAAAGAAAAGCAGCAGGUUAAUACCCCGCUGUUCUGACGGUACCCAAAGAAUAAGCUCCGGCUAACUUCGUG